CGGAUGGCCUAUAGGUCGCCAUUUUUGAUGUAUACCGAGGGAUGGAAUUGCUGGGUCGUAUGAUAGUUCUGUUUUUAGUUUUUUGAGAAACCUCCAUAGCGUUUUCCACAGUGCACCACUACAGGGGACACGGGUUCCAGCCCUGAUCUGGGAAGAUCCCACAUGCCGC